CAUGCAGUCGAGCGGUAGAGAGAAGCUUGCUUCUCUUGAGAGCGGCGGACGGGUGAGUAAUGCCUAGGAAUCUGCCUGGUAGUGGGGGAUAACGCUCGGAAACGGACGCUAAUACCGCAUACGUCCUACGGGAGAAAGCAGGGGACCUUCGGGCCUUGCGCUAUCAGAUGAGCCUAGGUCGGAUUAGCUAGUUGGUGAGGUAAUGGCUCACCAAGGCGACGAUCCGUAACUGGUCUGAGAGGAUGAUCAGUCACACUGGAACUGAGACACGGUCCAGACUCCUACGGGAGGCAGCAGUGGGGAAUAUUGGACAAUGGGCGAAAGCCUGAUCCAGCCAUGCCGCGUGUGUGAAGAAGGUCUUCGGAUUGUAAAGCACUUUAAGUUGGGAGGAAGGGCAGUAAAUUAAUACUUUGCUGUUUUGACGUUACCGACAGAAUAAGCACCGGCUAACUCUGUGCCAGCAGCCGCGGUAAUACAGAGGGUGCAAGCGUUAAUCGGAAUUACUGGGCGUAAAGCGCGCGUAGGUGGUUCGUUAAGUUGGAUGUGAAAUCCCCGGGCUCAACCUGGGAACUGCAUUCAAAACUGUCGAGCUAGAGUAUGGUAGAGGGUGGUGNAAUUUCCUGUGUAGCCGNUGAAAUGCGUAGAUAUAGGAAGGAAC
rnacentral:rRNA from 1 species